ensembl:lncRNA
CAAGAAUAUUUCUCCAUGAAUAAUAGAUGAACGAAUGGUCCUCCUGAAUACUCUGGGGCGAGGAUAGGUCUUUAUUGCAGGCUGUACAAUAAUAUUACAAGCAGGAGCCAGACAAUUUACAUGUAAAUACGGCGAAUUGUGUGAUUUCCAUGGCAUAGCAACAGUAACAAAUGUGUACACCCAAAGUGUAUUUUUAAUACAUCCAAAGUGUAUUAAAAAAAACAUUAUGAUCAAUAUUAUUGUGUAUGCGGCAGAGCAAUUCCCGAAUCUUCACGACUGCUUGACAGAAGAGGUAAGUAGAUAAGAAUCAGGAGCAUUAACAUUUACGCCCUAGUGUCUGGAGGACAGAACGACAAAAGCUGGGAAACCCCACUGAAGAAACCGGUAGUGCUAUAUAUAUAUAUAUGCUGUUCGUUUAUGUUUCUUUAUCUGUUAGUCGCAGCUUUUAGUUUUCACAGGUUACUCGCGGAGAUCGAAUUAGGCAAUAAUUGUACAGUGGAUCAUCUGACUCCAUUACGAAUCAUUAUCUUAUAUCAAACUCUUUUACAAGAAUUCAUGUGGAAUUUUAAAUGAUUUCGAGGAUCUCUGUGGACAUCAGAUACGUUGGAAUCUUGUUGUGGAUCCUCUGACCUGAUGAGUAAUCAUUAUCUUAUCUAAAAAAAUAACUGUAACAAGGACAGAUUCGAAGGCUCAAAGAGAUUCCUGACCACUCCGGCUUCGCAAUCUACACUCGUUUGUGUCCCGACACGUGCAUUUUGUUCUCUUGUCUUACUCUACAGGUCUUAUUGUUUCUUCUGACAACUUAUAUUUAAGACAGAGAGAUCAAGCUCGUCAUUAACACCGACGUGUACAUUCGGUGUUUCCUGAAAUCUGCCGCUAUGCAGCUGGAAGCACAGAAAGUUGUAUGUGGCCAGAGCUUGCUGUCCAGUUCCCUCAGAGUGUAUCUGAACAACAAGAACCGACUGCAGCCCAUCAUCGGUCUGAGCUGCAUGACAGAGUGUGUUAAGCUCAGUGGAGGCUCUGAGGCGGUGUACUUGUGUGAUGUGUGUAUGUGUCGUCUCGGUAAGGCCGACGUCCGGAGCCACAUCAUGGGGAGUCUCCACCGAUACAACUACAUCAAAAUCCAUCACCCUCACUUUGUGUCUGAGUGGAAGCAGAGCACUGAGCUGUCCAAGAUGGCUCGGCCUCUUAUGGAGAUGGCUCAAAUACUGGAGAACAAGGAAGGAACCGGGGACGUGCAGGUGCUGAGGUUGGAUGCUGCUAUGUUUGAGGAGGUCACAGCCCACAGUGAGAGUGAUGUUCUCAUCCUGUUGCGUGCUAUCAAGACCGAACAAAAGCGGACGGUGACCCAGGGCCAAUCGGAGGAGGCUUUAGCCGGUUCUGAGUGUUCACUCGUCCCGUCACAGAGAACUGUGAUAUCCCCCGGGAGGCUCCCGGUCCAGCUGGAGAAGGCUGCUGUCCAAAUUGACAGCCAGAGGGGAGGGUUUGUCCACAGAAGCAACCCCCUGCUUGGUGCUUCAGUAAAGCGUCCUGCAUCAGCCUUACCAUGGCCGCACGACAACGGUCUUUCCCUGAUCCAUGAUGACGUCACAGACGGAGGUCAGGUGUUACCGGGCGGGUCUGUGGGGGAGGGGUUUGGACAAGACGGAGUUCCUGCGAAGCUUAUUCGUUGUGAGCCGGUGUUCAAGGUGAGUCUGCCUUUGACUGAUGGCCCCCUGCUGCUGGAGAGGAAUUCCUUUAGCCUGGAACCCUCCCCCGCCUCCCCCGCCUCCCCCAUACACUCACCCGUUCACUCAACCAGCGUAGGUGCCUCGCCCCAGCCCCCUUCCACAUCCUUGCAUUCAGUUGGUCAGCCAAGAAACAGAGCUGCAACGGGACCUGGAAACACACAGAUAGUUGAAUAUAAACGCACUGUCAAUGCCAGAGUCGACACAGCCAGACACAAUCAACAGCUGACUAGGGGAGAGGAACAGAGGGCAACUGACCACGGCCUGUACAUCGGGAGAGAUCAGGACAGAGCUGACCGUCUGUUUUCAAAGAAUACCAGAUUCACCGAUACAAAGUUCGGUGUCCGCGUGAUACAGGACCACAGACUGCGCAGUACUGACCCUGGUGCUGGAGAUACGAUCGCUGACUUAGUGUCUGCUGCCCAACCGAUUUUCCUUACUACUGGUCAUCACUCGGGUUGUGUGGAAGAGGAGAGCUUGACCAACAGUCCUCCAAUGGAUGAAGAACAGGAGGAAGUGAAAGGGAAUAUUUGUCAUUCUGCUAGGGGACAGAGGCUUGCAGAGGACCACAGGACAACAGACUGUCUGUAUUCUACUGGAGAGAGGAUAGCUGACAGUGGGUAUUCCACAGGAAGCAAGUCAAUUGACAGAAUGUACCAAACAGUAGAAAGAUCAACUGACAGUCAGUUCUUUAUAGCAGAAGCGACGUCUGAUCGUGGGUACUCAACUGGAGUGGCGCUUACUGAACGGGGGUACUCAGGAGUGGGGCUAACUGAACGGGGGUACUCUACAGGAGUGGGCCUAACUGAACGGGGGUACUCAGGAGUGGGGCUAACUGAACGUGGGUACUCUUCAGGAGAGGGGCUAACUGAACGGGGGUACUCAGGAGUGGGGCUAACUGAACGGGGGUACUCAGGAGUGGGGCUAACUGAACGGGGGUACUCUUCAGGAGAGGGGCUAACUGAACGGGGGUACUCUUCAGGAGAGGGGCUAACUGAACGGGGGUACUCAGGAGUGGGGCUAACUGAACGUGGGUACUCUUCAGGAGAGGGGCUAACUGAAUGGGGGUACUCUUCAAGAGAGGGGCUAACUGAACGGGGGUACUCUUCAGGAGUGGGGCUAACUGACUGUGAGGUUUUAGAGGAAGAAAAGGGUUUCAGAGAUGAAAUGCAGAAAGGAUGUGGACUUAUUGUAGAGGUCAUGGUGGGGAACCAUAGACGGGGAAGAAAAAGUGAAAAGAAAAAAAGAAAGAGGGAGAAAUCGAACUUUUACAGAAAACAGUACUUUAAAUUGCAGCCUCCAAAACUGCACCAGGCACAGGGUUUCACAGGAGCUCAUAACGGUGCCUCAGGGCUUUGCAUGGUUGACACAGUAGAUCUCCAACAUGGCAUAGCCACCUAUAGAGACCAGACAGAGCCAGUCUACCACAGAGCAGACAUGAGCAGUCAUAAUGAUGUCAUAAGUAGACCUAUGAGUGACCUAGCAGCAAUGUCACAGGUACACUUGGAGUGCAGAAGAUCCUGGCACUAUGAAGGCACACAGCUGACCGCUGAUACUUACAGAACCGGGCCAUGUGAGUAUGAGACCCACCCUAAUCACUCUAACCCUGACCGGUUCAGACCCGAGCCCCUCCGGUACCCGCAUCAUGCUCUGGCCCCAGGGACUAGACCCCAUCUUGACUCUGGUCCUUUCCCCGUGAAGAUUGGGGGCGUUCAGACACCAGGUUAUGAUGGGUUUCCCCGGGCCCUGUCUGUGACGGCUUCUUCACCCCGCCACCCUUGGCCCUGUGAAGUGGAAGGUUAUGGCCCGGCCCCGUCUGACCCAUACCCGCUCCCGAGCCAUGAUCGUUACAGAGAGGUGGCCCGGGGCCACGGGCCUGCCACGUUUCAGUGGACUUUUUCAGCACCACCCCGGUUCUAGCUACCACACGUGUUUUGUAUUUCAUUUACACUAGUCGUUCUCCGACCACUCCUCAGGACGCCCAGAUGUCUCGCAAUUCCUUUUUAACGCUGAACUAGGGACUAGUUGAAAAAUGCAAACUGGUCAAAACUGUAACAUUUGCUGAACAUUUACAUUGCUGUGCAAUGUGCAUGAAAAGUAAAUGAUGAUAAUUAACUAGCUAACCUGAAUUAUAUAGCUGAUAAUGAGUUUACAGAGGUGGCCUGCAGUACGUCAAAUACGUGGAAUGGCUGGGGUGCCCAGGAAACGUUUGAAAACCACUCCUUAAGUUUCACUUUAUGUUGGUUAAAAUGGGCAGGUGUUUUGUGUGUUUGUUUUAUACACUGGAUUUCACCCUGUAAAUGUGAUUUGGAUUUCAUGCCUUCUUGAUUCUUUUAGCUUUUCUGUGUGGGAACGUAUUUUUGUAUGCCGAAUGAAGAUGGAGUUAUAAAAAAAGCAUUGAAUAGUGCCUCAGUAUUUGUCUGUUGUUAAGCCUAUGUGAGCACAUUCUUAGUUUGACAUGCUGUUUAAAGAAUAUGAUACAGAAUAUGCUACGGAGCUGAUCUAUGUUGAAAUUCAGCAAUUUUGCUAAAAUGUUAAAAGGUAAUUGAGGAGAAAUGUUAUUGGGUCUAUUCUAUAGGUUGAAUAUUGAUCUUUCUUGAAGUCCUGAGGGAAGCUUCACCAUGUACAUACAUUUUUAAUUUGGAUCAGCUGAGGAAUCAGCUUGAGGUUCAGUGUGUUGAACAUGUUAUGGACAACACAGGUUUUUUAACUUUCAUUUUCUUACCAAGUAACUUGUCUAUGAGGUUAUAUUAUAUUCAGCAAACAUCCAUGUUGAGCAAUUUCAUAUGGUUAAUUUGCUCAUGUGAAGAUUUUUUCUUUGUAAUUUACAAGUUCCGCACCACCCUGUAAAGUGAUUUGAGGAUUUAUUCUUGUUUGUUUUUUUGUCACUUGUGUGUUGUCACUUGGCCUGUUCUCAAUUGUUCUCCUUACCUCGCCUCCUGAAAACCAGUUUGUAGAGAAGGGCAGGACAUAUGACUUCUCAGCCAGAUGGGGUGCAGAGGCUAUUGUUAAAUAGCAGUUGACCAAACUAAAGCUUCUCACCGCCCAAUAUAUGUUUGUGAAGAACACACUGAAUUGAAGUAAAAUUUUCUAGCAGUUCCUAAUAAAGACUUGAAUAACACCUUUCAUGUAGUAAAUUGUUUUUUAUUUUACUUCAUUCAGUUUCAGGUAAUGUAUUGAAGCUUCUCAUUUCAUUGUCUACCUUUGUGUUGCUGCUGCAUUUGAGCCUAUUUGCUAAUGAAGUCAGUAUUAUCAUUGUCUUGCUUCCUCUAAUUCAAUGAUUCUCUACUGGAUUUAUAUAAACAAGCCACCUUUC